rnacentral:rRNA from 1 species
AUGAAGUUGGAAUCGCUAGUAAUCGCGGAUCAGCAUGCCGCGGUGAAUACGUUCCCGGGCCUUGUACACACCGCCCGUCACACCAUGGGAGUCGGUAACACCCGAAGCCUGUAGUCUAACCGCAAGGAGGACGCAGUCGAAGGUGGGAUUGAUGACUGGGGUGAAGUCGUAACAAGGUACC